ACUUGAAAGAACCCUAGAAAUGUUUACUCUACGAUUGAGAAAGAAACCUGAAUUUGCUUCAAAUCUUGGAAUCUUCAACUUUGGGAAUAUAAAUCAACUAUUGGCCAGACCCAGUUCACCAAGAAGUAUUUUGAUGAUACGUUUGAGCACAUCCAUGUUGUUCUUCGUCAUCAAGUUGUGAAGGAAUUUCUAAAGAAUCGGCUUCUGUC